UAGGGAAUAUUGGACAAUGGGCGCAAGCCUGAUCCAGCAAUGCCGCGUGUGUGAAGAAGGCCUGCGGGUUGUAAAGCUCUUUCGGCAGGAACGAAACGGUGGGGGCUAAUACCUCCUGCUAAUGACGGUACCUGAAGAAGAAGCACCGGCUAACUACGUGCCAGCAGCCGCGGUAAUACGUAGGGUGCGAGCGUUAAUCGGAAUUACUGGGCGUAAAGCGUGCGCAGGCGGUUAUGUAAGACAGAUGUGAAAUCCCCGGGCUUAACCUGGGAACUGCGUUUGUGACUGCAUAACUCGAGUGUGGCAGAGGGGGGUGGAAUUCCACGUGUAGCAGUGAAAUGCGUAGAGAUGUGGAGGAACACCGAUGGCGAAGGCAGCCCCCUGGGUCAACACUGACGCUCAUGCACGAAAGCGUGGGUAGCAAACAGGAUUAGAUACCCUGGUAGUCCACGCCCUAAACGAUGCGAACUAGGUGUUGGGGAAGGAGACUUUCUUAGUACCGCAGCUAACGCGUGAAGUUCGCCGCCUGGGGAGUACGGUCGCAAGAUUA
rnacentral:rRNA from 1 species